UAGAAAUACAAAGCGCCAGAACUACAUGAUGUGUAGUUGACGAGGAGGAGUUUUAUCGAAGUUUCGGCGGAUGACUCCCGGUUGUUCAUCACAACCGAAAACUUUUGCUUAAAGCGUUAAGGUGACUUAAUGGACAAAGGUAAAAGUGUGAUGAGAG
rnacentral:ncRNA from 2 species